rnacentral:lncRNA from 1 species
UUGACCUUCUUGUCGAAUGCUUUCACCACUCUCUGCUGAUAUAACUUGACCAUGACACAUGGCAGUUGAUCUCUUCUUUUCGAUCAAAUUCAGCAUCAGUCAACUUGGGACUUUGAGGGUGCUAUUUUUCUUUUAUUUCUUUCUUUCUUUUUCUUUCUUUUGAUCUCUUUUGAUUUUGCACCCUCUCUUUCUUUGUUUUUUUUUUUUGAUUGAUUUUUUUUUCUUUCUUCUUUUUUUUUGAUUAAUGCCCCAGUUGGUUGUUCUGCUGAUUCUCGAGAUGCAGCUGAGUGUGAUCUUCUUUUCUUGCUCAAGAAGUCGGGAAAUCUCGUCAGGAAUCCCUUCAACAUCAUCUUCGUCCGCUUCAAAUACAGGGAAUUCAAAAUUGGGAGAUGACGUCCAAUCAUUAUGUUUAAUGGGUUUGAGAAACAACCUGCAUAAAGAUUUUGAUAUGAAAAGCUCUUUGAAAAUCAAACAAGACAAUCGUUAUGCAGAUGAAAAGAUUGCUUUUAUUCUUGUUUUUUAAGGUUUUUUGUGAUCACCAAUUUCAUGCAAAAAGCGAAAAGGAAAAACAAAUUGGAAAAAACAAAUGUUUAACAUGCAUUUAUUUGAAUGAAAAUAUCAUUGCACAAAAUGUUGCCAACAAUGUCAUCACUUCUCCUUUUGGCAUGGGAGAAGGGUU